rnacentral:lncRNA from 1 species
GCGAGAAGUUGGCCACAAGGAAAUUCACGUGGUUGGGUUCACAGUUUCACUUGCCGUGUGUGGCAUUUCACUGCCUGGUACGUAGAAGAUUAACUGUUAGUCAUAUGGGAACUGUGGGAAUCCUCUUCCCCCAACUAGCAUUGUGAUUUGGCCAUUUGUGUUUGGUAAUAGCCCCAUAUAAUAUCCCUGUGUCCGACCUUCUUGCCCUUUUCAGUGACAUGGGCUACUUUGGGUGAAAUUACAGGCUUAUAUGAAUUGCAACUAACUGGUAGAAACCUUUGAAAAAAUAAUUAACACCUAUAUGAGGAUUUUGCAAUUGUGAGGUAUGAUAAGAAGAAUAGGCAAAUGUGUGGCUUUAAACAUAGGUGAGCGUCCAUGGCACAGUAAGAAGUCUGUUUCCUCUCCCUGGGAAAACACAUUCCAGCCACUGACUUAAUUUCUGUUCUUGUUGCUGACUUGCCGCCCUACUCCCCCUGUAAGUAAUGUGACAGGUCUGAACAUAAUUCUUUUUUGUAGUCCACUGACUCUUGUAAAUAAUGCAGUGAUUAUAAGGUUUCCUGAAUACAAUUUUCAAAAUGGUAGUAAUAACCACAUUGCACCUACCUGCUAUACUUGGGUAACCACUUCUGUUGCUCAAUUUACUUAAUAUUG